GACGUAGGGCGCGAGCGUUGUCCGGAUUUAUUGGGCGUAAAGAGCUCGUAGGCGGCUUGUCGCGUCGUCCGUGAAAACUUGGGGCUCAACCCCAAGCUUGCGGUCGAUACGGGCAGGCUAGAGUUCGGUAGGGGAGGACUGGAAUUCCUGGUGUAGCGGUGAAAUGCGCAGAUAUCAGGAGGAACACCGAUGGCGAAGGCAGCUCGCUGGGACGGUACUGACGCUGAGGCGCGAAAGCGUGGGGAGCGAACAGG
rnacentral:rRNA from 1 species